GGUCACAAUUCCAAAACCUAAAAAACACAAAACCUCCUCAGCCACCCUUCGUCAGUCGUCACCCACCUCCGCUGCUCGCCUCCUCGCUCGCCUCCGAGCCGCCUCCGCCACCUGACUCGGCCACUCGCCUCCGCCGCUCGCCUCUAAGUCGCCUCCGCCGCCCGCCUCCGAGGCUCGCCUCCGCCACUCCUCCGCCGAAGCUCGACGACCUUCAGCCUCACCCCGUGAAAAUCCAGCUGAGGACCUCGUCGAUUUUUGCCUCAGUAGCGCUCCUCGGGCGUUCCUCAUUGAUUGGUAAGG
rnacentral:lncRNA from 1 species